UACGAACCGUACAAACGCUAUUCGGAAUCACUGGGCUUAAAGGGUGCGUAGGCGGCCAUGUAAGUGAGAUGUGAAAUCCCUCGGCUCAACCGAGGAAGUGCAUUUCAUACUGCAUGGCUUGAGGGAGACAGGGGUAAGCGGAACUGAUGGUGGAGCGGUGAAAUGCGUUGAUAUCAUCAGGAAUCACCGGUGGCGAAAGGCGGCUAUCGG
rnacentral:rRNA from 1 species